UUAAUGUCUUGUAAUUGGAAUGAUGGGAAUUUAAACCUCUUCCAGAGUAUCAAUUGGAGGGCAAGUCUGGUGCCAGCAGCCGCGGUAAUUCCAGCUCCAAUAGCGUAUAUUAAAAUUGUUGCAGUUAAAAAGCUCGUAGUUGAAUUUCUGCUGCAUUACAUAUCUCUUGUUUGAGUUUGUUUUUGUGGCUUAUUUCGGUUUGAUUUUUUCUUUCCGGAUGAUUACUUUGAGAAAAUUAGAGUGCUCAAAGCAGGCUUUUGCCUUGAAUAGUUUAGCAUGGAAUAAUAAAGUAGGACUUUGGUUCUAUUUUGUUGGUUUUAGGUACCAAAGUAAUGGUUAAUAGGAACAGUUGGGGGCAUUCGUAUUUA
rnacentral:rRNA from 1 species